rnacentral:rRNA from 1 species
ACGGCCGCGGUACCCUAACCGUGCAAAGGUAGCAUAAUCACUUGUUCUUUAAAUAAGGACUUGUAUCAACGGCAUCACGAGGGUUCUACUGUCUCCUCUCUCCAAUCGGUGAAACUGAUCUCCCUAUGAAAAAGUGGGGAUAAACUUAUAAGACGAGAAGACCCCAUGGAGCUUUAAAACCUAUAGCAACCUAGCAAACACUUCCAUUUAGCUAUAAAACUAUGCUCAAGGACUUUAGGUUGGGAGGACCACGGAGCACAAAAUAACCUCCGCAAUGAAAAGAAUAAAAUCUUUACCAAAGAGCCACAACUCCAAGAAUUAGAAAACUAACGUACAAUGACCCGAUAUCGAUCAAUGAACUAAGUUACCCUGGGGAUAACAGCGCAAUCCAUUCUGAGAGUUCAUAUCGACGAACGGGCUUACGACCUCGAUGUUGGAUCAGGGUAUCCUGGUGGUGCAGCCGCUACCGAAGGUUCGUUUGUUCAACGAUU